rnacentral:rRNA from 1 species
CCUACGGGGGGCAGCAGUGAGGAAUAUUGGUCAAUGGGCGGGAGCCUGAACCAGCCAAGCCGCGUGAGGGAAGAAGGUCCAGCGUAUCGUAAACCUCUUUUGUCAGGGAACAAAGGCGGGGACUAGUCCCCGGCUGAGGGUACCUGAAGAACAAGCAUCGGCUAACUCCGUGCCAGCAGCCGCGGUAAUACGGAGGAUGCGAGCGUUAUCCGGAUUUAUUGGGUUUAAGGGGUGCGCAGGGGGCCUGUUAAGUCAGCGGUAAAAGCCCGGGGCUCAACCCCGGCGAGCCGUUGAAACUGGCGGGCUGGAGUUGGAGAGAAGUACGCGGAAUACGCGGUGUAGCGGUGAAAUGCUUAGAUAUCGCGCAGAACCCCGAUUGCGAAGGCAGCGUACCGGCUCCACACUGACGCUGAGGCACGAAAGCGUGGGUAUCGAACAGGAUUAGAUACCCGGGUAGUC